CGCUCCUCAAAACCUUUCCUCCGGAGGUGCCGACCUCCUCUGCGCCCCUGCACUCUGCGAUGCUGGGAGGGGCUUUCAGCCUCUGAAACCCUGUCCUGUCCCAGAGCAGGGGCGACACCUCAGCCUGGGAGAGCCUGUCGGGUUUGUGCCGGGAGCUGGGGCUCCCCACAGCGCUGCCUCCCCCCGUGCUCCGGGGACGCCUGUCCUCGCACGCUGGGAGCCUGGAAGGAAGAUGCGCCGGGUUGGCGUCACCGGGAGGAGGGGGCUGUUGCAAUCCCGAGAGGCGUUUCCUCAGGCCGCGAGGCGAUUGGGAGCCCAGGAAGCCCGCGAGGACAGCCAGCGGCCGGGCAGGUGGGGAGGGAGACGCCUGGGGGUACCUGGAGGUGGCCCCCUCUGGAGUCUGGGCACGGCCCCUAAACUGCGGAAGGGCUCAGGAGCUACGACGUCAGGGAUUCACCUGCGGUGACCUCUAGCACUCCGUCCGCAGGCCGCACGAGCCAGUGUCCUCAUCCAAAAUCAGGGCCACGGUGACCAGGGAGCCCAGGGCUGCAGGGACACAGGGGCCUCCUGUGCAGUGUCUCUGGCCCCCGUCAUGCUCCCCGGACCCCCAGGACUCAGACUUCCAGGGAUGUGAGGCCCCACAAGCCUGAGCGAGACGCCCAGGCCAGGACGACUCAGCUCCGCCUUCUCUGAGACGACCCACAUCCAAGCCAGGUCGGGCUGGCCAAGAGGACGCUGCUCAGGGCCGGUGGGGACGUGCGGGUCCGCUGGGGCUGGGCGGCUGCCACGUGCCCGCACCCACCGCUGCAAAAUCCUGCCAUGCUCACAUCUCCAGGGCUUCCGGGUGCCAUCGGAUGGAUGGUGUCCUCCCCAAAUAGAUGUUCUAGUCCCGGCGAAUGUGACCGCCGUGGGACUGGUGUCCUCACAAGGGGAGGGAGUUUGGGCACAGGCUGGCUCUCGCGGGAAAAGGCCCCGAUCCCCGUGGCCGCUGCGCAGACUGGCCCCCGCCCCGCAGACGCCCGACCUGUCCCACGGCCCUUCCACGGCUGACCGUCACCGAGGGCUUCGUGGGCAUCUGUUCCCCUAAAUGCGGCCACUUUCUAGAGGGGGGCUGGGUGUGGAUGCCGCGGAGGAGCUGAAUGAGUAGAUUCUUCUGGGCCCGGGCCCAGAUCCAGGCCGCACGCCCCCCACGGGCUCUGUCUGGGGCCGGGCUGUGGGUGCCCGCCCUCGCCUGCAUCUCUGCCAGCGACGGCCACCAGCCCCUGCACCCUGGUGCUUUCGAACACCCAGUGGGCUCUGCUCUUUCAGGGCCUUCUCCCGGGAAAGUGAAUGCAGUGCCUCCCUGGUGCACUUUCACAGCUGAGGUUAAGGCGAAGGUGUUCAGGGCCCCCACCCAGGAGCUCUGCCGGUGGGCGUCCACCUUCGGCUCAGGGCGUGACCCCGGCGUCCCGGGAUCAAGUCCCGCAUCCCUGCAGGGAGCCUGCUUCUCCCUCUGCCUGUGUCUCUGCCUCUCUCUGUGUCUCUCAUGAAUAAAUAAAUAAA